UACGUAGGGGGCAAGCGUUGUCCGGAAUCAUUGGGCGUAAAGCGCGCGUAGGCGGCUUUGUAAGUUAGAGGUGAAAGCCCGGGGCUACAACCCCCGGGAAUUGCCUUUAAGACUGCAUCGCUUGAAUCCGGGAGAGGUGAGUGGAAGUUCCGAGUGUAGCGGUGAAAUGACGCAGAUAUCAGGAGGAACACCGGUGGCGAAGGCGGGUCUCUGGGCCGAUACUGACGCUGAGGAGCGAAAGCGUGGGGAGCGAACAGG
rnacentral:rRNA from 1 species